rnacentral:rRNA from 1 species
GGGGAAUUUUCCGCAAUGGGCGAAAGCCUGACGGAGCAAUACCGCGUGAGGGAAGACUGCCUAUGGGUUGUAAACCUCUUUUUUCAGGGAGGAAUAAAAUGACGUGUACCUGAAGAAUAAGCAUCGGCUAACUCCGUGCCGGCAGCCGCGGUAAGACGGAGGAUGCAAGUGUUAUCCGGAAUCACUGGGCGUAAAGCGUCUGUAGGUGGUUUAAUAAGUCAACUGUUAAAUCUUGAGGCUCAACUUCAAAAUCGCAGUCGAAACUAUUAGACUAGAGUAUAGUAGAGGUAAAGGGAAUUUCCAGUGGAGCGGUGAAAUGCGUAGAUAUUGGAAAGAACACCGAUGGCGAAAGCACUUUACUGGGCUAUUACUAACACUCAGAGACGAAAGCUAGGGUAGCAAAUGGGAUUAGAUACCCCAGUAGUC